rnacentral:rRNA from 1 species
GAGCGAACGGACGAGAAGCUUGCUUCUCUGAUGUUAGCGGCGGACGGGUGAGUAACACGUGGAUAACCUACCUAUAAGACUGGGAUAACUUCGGGAAACCGGAGCUAAUACCGGAUAAUAUUUUGAACCGCAUGGUUCAAAAGUGAAAGACGGUCUUGCUGUCACUUAUAGAUGGAUCCGCGCUGCAUUAGCUAGUUGGUAAGGUAACGGCUUACCAAGGCAACGAUGCAUAGCCGACCUGAGAGGGUGAUCGGCCACACUGGAACUGAGACACGGUCCAGACUCCUACGGGAGGCAGCAGUAGGGAAUCUUCCGCAAUGGGCGAAAGCCUGACGGAGCAACGCCGCGUGAGUGAUGAAGGUCUUCGGAUCGUAAAACUCUGUUAUUAGGGAAGAACAUAUGUGUAAGUAACUGUGCACAUCUUGACGGUACCUAAUCAGAAAGCCACGGCUAACUACGUGCCAGCAGCCGCGGUAAUACGUAGGUGGCAAGCGUUAUCCGGAAUUAUUGGGCGUAAAGCGCGCGUAGGCGGUUUUUUAAGUCUGAUGUGAAAGCCCACGGCUCAACCGUGGAGGGUCAUUGGAAACUGGAAAACUUGAGUGCAGAAGAGGAAAGUGGAAUUCCAUGUGUAGCGGUGAAAUGCGCAGAGAUAUGGAGGAACACCAGUGGCGAAGGCGACUUUCUGGUC